UGUUCCUCUGUGUUAGAGAGUUCUCCUCCUCUCACUGUCCUGUUCCUCUGUGUUAGAGAGGUCUCCUCCUCUCACUGCCCUGGUCCUCUGUGUUAGAGGUCUCCUCCUCUCACUGUCCUGUUCCUCUGUGUUAGAGGUCUCCUCCUCUCACUGCCCUGGUCCUCUGUGUUAGAGAGGUCUCCUCCUCUUACUGUCCUGUUCCUCUGUGUUAGAGAGGUCUCCUCCUCUCACUGCCCUGGUCCUCUGUGUUAGAGAGGUCUCCUCCUCUCACUGUCCUGUUCCUCUGUGUUAGAGAGGUCUCCUCCUCUCACUGUCCUGUUCCUCUGUGUUAGAGAGGUCUCCUCCUCUCACUACCCUGUUCCUCUGUGUUAGAGGUCUCCUCCUCUCACUGCCCUGUUCCUCUGUGUUAGA
ensembl:lncRNA